AAUUAAUCGAAUUUCCUAUCGUUGUUAAACACUUAAGUGAAAAAUCAAUUAAAAUAGUAAUUUAACGAAUCAGACGCUGUUUGAGAGUAAAGAUGGUUCUGAAAGGUUUUGUGAUUUUAACUAUAAUUGUUGGAAUUCAAUCCUUGAAAGACAAUAAUAUGGAUUUUGAUGCAGACUACUUCUUCAGUGCUCUGCGGACUUCCCAGUCUUGUAUCACCAAAAUCUGCCAAGGUCACUGUGGAAAUAAGAAUAGUGUUUGUAUUUCUGGAAAGUGUUACUGUUUAGAGAAUCGUACUGCUGCUAAUGCUGGAAUCAAAAAGGAAUCUCUAUAUUAUGGACUGCGCCCAACAGUUCGACACCAUAUCGCCCAUUUCUGUCCAAACUUGGAAGUAGCCAGGAGUUGUAUACGAAAAUGUAUGAAAGAAGGUCUGCCAUCCUUCUGUGGCAAGGAUCAUGUAUGCUACUGCGGUCAUAAAUACAGAAAUACCGAUGUAAAUCCGGAAGUAAACGCAAACCAAGUGCAUAAUCAGUUUAAAGAUUUGUAUGCUAAAUAUUUUGGGCCGGAUCUACGUAAUAAGCGAAGUAAUUUAGAUGAAUCGAUCGAGUAUUGAAUAUAUAUAUAUAUAUAU